rnacentral:rRNA from 1 species
UGACGGUACCUGACUAAGAAGCCCCGGCUAACUACGUGCCAGCAGCCGCGGUAAUACGUAGGGGGCAAGCGUUAUCCGGAUUUACUGGGUGUAAAGGGAGCGUAGACGGAGUGGCAAGUCUGAUGUGAAAGGCAUGGGCUCAACCUGUGGACUGCAUUGGAAACUGUCAAUCUUGAGUGCCGGAGGGGUAAGCGGAAUUCCUAGUGUAGCGGUGAAAUGCGUAGAUAUUAGGAGGAACACCAGUGGCGAAGGCGGCUUACUGGACGGUAACUGACGUUGAGGCUCGAAAGCGUGGGGAGCAAACAGGAUUAGAUACCCUG